rnacentral:rRNA from 1 species
UGGGAACCUUCCCUAUGGUUCGGAAUAGCUCAGGGAAACUUGGGGUAAUACCGGAUAAGCCCUUCGGGGAAAGAUUUAUCGCCAUUGGAUGGGCCCGCGUCGGAUUAGCUAGUUGGUGAGGUAACGGCUCACCAAGGCAACGAUCCGUAGCUGGUCUGAGAGGAUGAUCAGCCACACUGGGACUGAGACACGGCCCAGACUCCUACAGGAGGCAG